rnacentral:lncRNA from 1 species
CCGCUGCGAGGAAGAGCUCUGGGCUGGUGACGUCAUCAAGCCGUGCGAGGCGGGGCUGCGGACGGUGGGCGGGAGGCUGCCAACGGUUUUGAGCGCAGGGAGGGCGGUGAGGGUGGGUGUGGAGGCGUCCUUGGUCUCCCGGACCGGGGCUCAGGGGAGGGGGAUAGCCCCUUGUCGACACCGUGGCAAACUGAGGGGGCUGAGGUCCGGCGGUGUGGCGAGGAGUCGCGAGGGGUGGUUGGGGUAGAGGAUCGCAGGCUAGGCUUGAGGGCGGCGUACCUUUUAGAGACGUCUGAGGAGGUGACCGAGUGUUCACGAAGUUUCUCUCGGGAGAGCGAGGAGGGAGGGAGGCUAGGGAAACUUACUAUGGUUUUCUUGCCAGAAGGGGUCGGAGGGGAUAUACAAGAGGGUUGACCGUGGGUGGAACAGGCGCAUGGCGGAGGGGUGUGAGCCGGUGGGGAACCUGAGGUUCCUGCCUCUCUGAGACCGGGACCAGGUGAGGGGCACAUAAGGCGGCUGGAGGGAAGUUAGGCCCUUAUUGGGUUUGCGCCCAUUUCAGUUUGCACGUUGAGUUCAGUUGACCCGUGAUGGCCGGUGCCAGAAGUUGAUCUACAGCUUUCAGCCCUCCAGGGAACUGCAGGGGUGCUGUCGCUCCUCCGUCUUCUGUCCCCACCCACUCCUUGCUGCACCCUCCUUUUCCACCGUUCCCAGGAGCUGUGGAAGGAAAUGCUUUUGCCCUCUCCCAUGGCCUCUGAAACCGCCAGAAACCUUUCCUCUAACCAGAAAGCCUCCAUACCGUUAGUCACCAAGGCUCCUGGGCUUGGAGCCUUCCUCCUUUCUCCCAAAUCUUCUUCCGUGUACUUCGCCCCUUGGCCUGUCCUACAGCAGGACCAGAAGUUCCCAGCUGUACUGUCUGCAGUUGUCUCUUCCUUGUACCCAUGGCGACAUCAGCUACGGUUCCCAGUUCACCCCUCCGGGCUGAGGAUCUCCUGAGUGAUUCAUCAGAAGCCCCUGGGCUGAACCAAAUGUCCUCUGAGGUGACCUCCCAGCUCUAUGCUUCUUUGCACCUCAGUCGCCAGGCAGAGGCCACAGCCCGAGCCCAGCUGUAUCUGCCCUCCUCCUCCCCACCUCCUCAUGAGAUGUUAGAUGGCUUGGCCCAAGAGCUGAGUCGCAGCUUGUCAGUUGGAUUGGAGAACAACUUGAAGAAAAAGGUGAGAGAGGUGUGUCUUGGGGACCUCCAGGGUCUUGGAAUUGGAGGUGGUUAAAAAAAAAUGGCUUUGCUGAGAUUUGAACCCCUCUUGUUGGAUUUCACAUUGCUUUUUUUUUUUUUUCCCAAUGUUUAUUUAUUUUUGGGGGGACAGAGAGAGACAGAGCAUGAACGGGGGAGGGGCAGAGAGAGAGGGAGACACAGAAUCAGAAACAGGCUCCAGGCUCUGAGCCAUCAGCCCAGAGCCCGACGCGGGGCUCGAACUCACGGACCGCGAGAUCGUGACCUGGCUGAAGUCGGACGCUUAACCGACUGCGCCACCCAGGCGCCCCUCACAUUGCUUUUAACUAGAGUCCUUUAUGCUCGUUCCUGGGAGCAAAUGUUUAUGAGGCAGAGAGUGGCCCAGGGACACCAUACUUGGGGAAAUUAUGAAACUUAACUAGUGUUUUUUGGUCAGAGACACCUGCACUGUGCUUUGAUUGGCCCCCCGGGCACUAAGAGUGAGGAUAAGGACAGCAAAACGUGCUAAGCUCCUCCCAGCUCAAAGCUAUUUUGGUUGUAUGGUGUAAAGUUUGGCAUCUAAAUCAUUAAAACACAGCCUGAUCAAUCACACGUGCUACAGAAAGGAUAGUUACGCGUGUUGGCUAGAAAAAGUGUCGUAAACAAUUUGCAGACCAGUUGGGUCUCUCGCCACGGACUGUACGGUCUUCGGAGAAGAGGUUUGCUCUCUAGCUGACAAGCGUCCUCACCAGUCUUGUCUUAAUGUGCCUAGUUAAUUCAUUCCCACUACCUGUCUGGCUUCUGCAGACAUUUGAGUUGAGUCAGUUCUGUUUUUCUUAGCUCUCCCAGGUGCCGGAGUAAAAAUUCUUGGGUUGGCGGGGUGGGGGGUACCGGAUGCCAUCUGCCCUGGCGGUAGGUCGAACAUAGGUUUUUCAGUGUGCAUCUGAUUUUCAUGUUGCUUUUUUUUUUUUUUCCCCCUAGGAUGGUUCGAAGCAUAUCUUUGAGAUGGAAAGUGUUCGGGGUCAACUUCAGAGCUUGCUCCAGACCUCCCGUGAUACAGCCCAUCGUGAGUAAACCCCUUGACCAUGAAGAAGUGCACAGACGUAAGGGGCGGGAGAAGGUGGAGAAAGGAAGACUCAGGUUUCAGGAGAGGCUCCGGUUCUUUGGGAGAGGGGCCAGAGGAGUGGGUGCAGUAGAAAGGAAGGCCCUCUCCUCUCUUCUCCUUCAAGUGGUCCCUGUUCCAAAGUCUUACCUGACCCUGGCUCUGGGGUCUCUCUGGCUGCCUGCAGGGGACCCCCUCACUCCAGGUGCUGGCUCAGAGAGACGAGAAGAGGACUCCUUUGACAGUGACAGCACAGCCACCUUGCUGAAGUGAGUCUCCCUUGGGUUCUGCUCACUUGCUUGCCUGGAAAGCCAAGUGUUCCGUUCCAUAAUUGUCUCCUUCCUGCUUCUGAACCUCUUAAGGCCCUAAGAUGCUUGUCCCUUACCUUUCAGUUUUCAUCCUUUCUCUCCUGGCUUCUAACUCCUUUACUUCAGGAACGUGGGCAUCUCCUGCCUGGUACCUGGCUUUCUCCCAGGUAUCUUCUUCCCCCGGAAGAGUUGGCUUGUUUCUGCUAAGACUGUUACUGCGGGGAGCGUGGUGUGCAGGAAGGAGCGCUAGAGAGUGAAUCACAGGACCUAAGUGCUGUUGAGGGCCCUGUCACUGUCUAGCUCCGUGACUUUGGGCAAGUCUCUGGCCCUUUCUGAGUUCCAGUUUCCACGUUUGUAAAACGUCACAGUUGGACUAGGGGAUCUCAAAAGCUUUCCCCACCCUGACAUUCUCUACCUGGUUUGCUCAGCACCCGGCCCCUGCAAGACUUAUCUCCGUCCAGCUCGGCCCAAGCCCUGGAGGAGCUGUUUCCGCGCUAUGCCAGUCUUCGGCCAGGACCCCCGCUCGAUCCCCCGGAUUUCCAGGGCCUGAGGGAUGCCCUGGAUUCAGAGCAUACCCGUCGCAAGGUGAGUUACCGAGGCUUCCUUUUGAAAGCAGCGACGAUUAGAAAUAGGCCGGGUGCUGAACAGGGCUGAGGGUUAAGGGCCUGCAAGCCGAGACUUUGCCUUCAGGGUGGUCGUCUUUGACCAUCUGACCUAAAAUGGCACAUUCCUCCUCCCGGCGUUCAGUCGGGUUGCUCUGUUCUUUCUUUCAUAUAGCUGCUUACCACAGCCCGGUACAUCUCAUUUCUCCCCUCUGAAAUCUAAGCUCCACGAGGGCCAUACCUUAUCUCGUUCCGCCCUGUCUUCCUAAGGUCUAGAACAUGCCUGACGCAAAGCAAAGCAAUGUCCCAUAAGCGCGUGGUGAAUGAACAAGCCUCGCUAGCUUGUGCGAAGGCUUUGCAGUUGUCGGUGACCUAGCAAGCUUUAUCUCCAGCCUCUCUGAGGUGGGCAGAGAGAGGGAGUAGGCAGAGGAAGCGUCAGAAUCACUGGUUGUGUUGUCUCUUCCUUGAUCUUAAGUCACUGGGCAUGGAUGAAAGGCUUUCUCCUGUCUUUGCCGUGUUUCAUCACUGUGCCCGAUGAACUUCUUGAGGCAGGAGUGACCUCCCACUCUUUGCCGUGUGGGCUGUCGCGCUGCUACCAGAGGGUUCAUGGGAAUUCUUCUCGGGAGAGCCAGGAAAAGGAAGAGCCCGGAAGCUAAGCCCCUGUCUCCUGAGAUGGUAGGGGAAGGCGUUGGAGGCUUCAAGUUUCCUGCUCCAGAAUUCCUGAUUCUUCUUCUCCAAACCUCCUCUGUUCUGGGGACCCAAGCUCCCUGUGUCCAGCCCGUUUUCACCGAGAAAACCUGGGAAGUUUGAUGCUUUGGUCAGCUUAGGGACGGUCACCCCCACUUGUCACCCUUCUUCCCAGCAUUGCGAGCGCCAUAUUCAGAGCCUCCAGACCCGAGUGCUGGAGCUUCAGCAACAGUUAGCUGUGGCUGUGACUGCCGACCGCAAGAAAGAUGUUAUGAUCGAGCAGUUGGACAAGGUGCCAGGGGGGCAGAAUGCGGGCGGGGCUCUCCACGGGGGGAAGAGUAAACGGGGUGGCCGGCCGGCAUUUCUGUGCUCACUCUGGGAGCUGGGGCCCGGUGUGGAUUUCCCGAUCCUGGGAGAAGGUGGCUGUUGACCCCGCUCCUGCGGGCAGAAAGAGGGCAAAACAAUGAUUUUGAAAUGCCAUCUGACUCUCCUCUCCUGAGACCCUGGCCCGCGUGGUGGAGGGCUGGAACCGGCACGAAGCCGAGCGGGCAGAGGUCCUUCGGGGGCUCCAGGAGGAACGCCAGGCAGCCGAACUCACCAGAAGCAAGCAGCAGGAGGUGGGCAACCUGGAUCAGAUGGCAUUAGAACCGGGGUCACAGAUUGGCAGGUGGAAGGGGGUUGAAGUAGCUCCGAAGCAGGGUUCCCGACCGAUUGAGCCAGGGUUGCAGAAACCGACCUGCUCUCUUUUCACCAUUUUUACUGUCAGAAUUGCCUCAUCUGUGUCUUCCCAGCUUUCCCCACACCCUGUGGUCUUCUCUUUGGCCCUCAAGUCAUUUAGUUAGGUCUUCUUUUUCUUUUUUUUAUUAAAAAAUUUUUUUUUAAUGUUUAUUCAUUUUUUGAGAGAGAGAGAGAGAGAGAGAGAGAGAGAGCAUGCGCAAGUGGGGGGAGGGGCAGAGAGAGAGAGAGACACAGAAUCUGAAGCAGGCUCCAGGCUCUGAGCUGUCAGCACAGAGCCCGACACAGGGCUCGAACCCAUGAACCGCGAGAUCGUGACCCAAGCUGAAGUCGGAUGCCCAACCGACCGGGCCACCCAGGUGCCCCAGGUCUUACUUUUAAAGUCUAUCUCAUUGACGCUUUUUGAACUAUGAGUUCGUCAGUUCCCCUGUCUUGUGUCCCCCUGUCCCUGAAAGACAGUAACCCACCUGGAGCAAAGCCUUUCUGAGGCCAUGGAGGCCCUGAGUCGUGAGCAGGAAGGCGCCAGACUGCAGCAACGGGAAAGAGAGACGCUGGUGAGAACGCUGGACUGGGUUGAUUCCGGUGGAAGCCGCUAAUUACUUCUGGAGGGGUGCUUGCCGUUGGCGGGUUGUGGGAGCUGCACUGGGGGAGUGUUUCCCAAAGACUGAUCUUAGAACACUUGUUCUGCAAACAGGGCUCUGCCACCAAGUUAGCUUAAGAGACUCGGCAAAUUAUUUCCUCGUUAGAAUUACCUGGGGGAUUACUUUAAAAUGUAGAUUUCGGGGACCCACUGCCAGGGGUUGUGAUUCAGUAGGCAUAUGGUGGGGCUGGGAGCCUAAAUGUUUUCAGCAGUUUCCUAGCUGAUUUUGCUCAGCCAGGCUUGGGAACUGUGGUGUAGGGCAUGGCGAAGCCGGGUGUGGGACAAGACUCCGUCAGGUUUCUUCCUGCUGAAGUGACAAGAGGAUUACCCACGUGAACGAGCAGCCAGGUUUGGAACUCACCGUGUGCAUGACAUGUGCCUGCUACGUGCAGGCUGGUACUUGUCAUCUUUUAGUUUUUUUAUUACUUUUUUUAAUGUUUUAUUUGUGAGAGAGACAGAGAGAAACAUGAGUGGGGGAGGGACAGAGAGAGAAGGAGACAAAGAAUCCAAAACAGGCUCCAGGCUCUGAGCUCCCAGCUGUCAGCCCAGAGCCCGACACGGGCUCGAACUCUUGGACCGCGAGAUCAUGACCUGAGCCGAAGUCGGCCGCUUAACCGACCGAGCCACCCAGGCGCCCUUGGUACUUCUCAUCUUAACAGGCUUUGUCCAACAGUAUGGGUGAUGGGUGCUGGUUGGCUAGGACAUGACUUUGCGGGCUGGAUUUUCUGGUCUCCGUGGAACUUCUCUUGAUGAUGAUAGUGAUGGCUGUUGUGUACGGAGUGCUCACCGUGUGCCGGGCCCCCGUGCUAAUUACUUCCUGUGCGCUUUGCACCGUAAUCCUCACGAGGUAGACCCUGGCAUGAUGCCGUUUUGCAGAUUGAGACGCGUGCCUCAGAACGCAUAGGAAGGGACAGAUUUGAACCCAGAUGUACCUAAUUCCGGAACAGAAGCUCUUAUUUACUAUAUCCUAAUCCCGUGGGCUGGCCAACUGCUGUGUUUCUCGUGGACGUAAUUCUCAGGGCGCUGGUCCUCUGUGUGGGGCGAGGGGACAGAUUGCUGGCGUUGGACGGGCUCGUAAGGAGCUUGGUUUCCCCUGGGGCCAUAGGAGGAGGAGAGGCAGGCUCUGACCCUGAGCUUGGAGCUGGAACAGCAGCGGUGCCGGGCUCUGCAGGAAGAGCGGGACGAGGCCCGGGCCGGGCAGCUCAGUGAGCACCGGCAGCUGGAGACACUGAAGGUGGCCCUGGAAGGGGAACGGCAGGCGUGGGCCGAGCAGGAGCGCCAGCUGGAGGAGCGCCACCGGGCGCUGCGGGACGACGUGCAGGCCCAGCUGGAGCAGG